rnacentral:misc_RNA from 1 species
CCUUAACCCUAGAUCACUAACCUUCGUCGAAACGACGACGCGGACUUGAAAAAAGUGCUAUAAAUUUUGAGUGCGUCGUCGUACGCAUUCCAGAUUCCAGCUAAUCUCAGUCGACCUACAGCUCGCACAGCACACGGGUGUAUUUUUGUGUAGGAGCUCUGUGUCCGCCAUUCCAGCCACCAUGAGUCGUCGAAUCGACGAAGAUACGAUUCGUCAGCUGUUAUUAGAUAAUAAUAGUGACGAAGAAAACGGCUCUGAGAGUGAGAAAGAAGACCACCUUGACGGUGAUUCGGCUUAUGAAACAGAUGGUGAGGGAGAAAUUUGUUUUGUAACAAAACAACCACCUUCAACUAAAGACAUCCAGGCAAAGUUCAUCUUCAUCAAUUGAAGACUCGUGAGCUAGUACUUCAAAUCAGUCACACGAAUUAAUUAUUACACCAACAAGUAAUAUUAUUCGUGGAAAAGGCAAACACAAAUGGUCAUCAGUGAAACAGAUUUCAUGAAGCCGAACAGCAUCAAAAAAUAUUGUUCAUGGACCCAUUAGUUCUAUUUCUACACACGAGACUGAUCAAAGAAAAGAUUCAGUUAGUCUUCCUAUCGCCGAAAAAAGAAAAAUUUGUGCAAUUUGCCCCUCCACAAGGCGAAGAAUGACGAAGAGUUAUUGCACCA